GAUGAACGCUGGCGGCGUGCCUAAUACAUGCAAGUCGAGCGGACGGACGAGAAGCUUGCUUCUCUGAUGUUAGCGGCGGACGGGUGAGUAACACGUGGAUAACCUACCUAUAAGACUGGGAUAACUUCGGGAAACCGGAGCUAAUACCGGAUAAUAUUUUGAACCGCAUGGUUCAAAAGUGAAAGACGGUCUUGCUGUCACUUAUAGAUGGAUCCGCGCUGCAUUAGCUAGUUGGUAAGGUAACGGCUUACCAAGGCAACGAUGCAUAGCCGACCUGAGAGGGUGAUCGGCCACACUGGAACUGAGCCACGGUCCAGACUCCUACGGGAGGCAGCAGUAGGGAAUCUUCCGCAAUGGGCGAAAGCCUGACGGAGCAACGCCGCGUGAGUGAUGAAGGUCUUCGGAUCGUAAAACUCUGUUAUUAGGGAAGAACAUAUGUGUAAGUAACUGUGCACAUCUUGACGGUACCUAAUCAGAAAGCCACGGCUAACUACGUG
rnacentral:rRNA from 1 species